CGGUGAGAUCCUCUACCGCGGUGGGUUGGGGAGGCGGAACUGAAAUUUUUUUCGUAAUUAUCAUGUGACGGGUUCUGGAUUUAAUGGGGGGAAAAGUGCGGAAAAGGACAAGGAUCCACACUGGCGAAUUUCCUGAUCUUCGCGCCCGUCCCCGCUGUCCCGCCGGCAGCGUUGCCAGGCGGUGAAGCCCUCUAUUGUCCUGACCCCAUGGUUCCUGUCCCAUAACCAAGGCAAGCUCACCAGGAGCUGCAGCAGCAUGUAAAGUCAGUGCCAUCCCCCAUUCGAGUACCUGAGGAAGGUAUUUCAGGACAGCCAGGUGGGAGUGCACGUCCACCGAGAAACUGAGCAAGAGUGACUGUGCUGAGCCUUUGCGCCACCAGAGGGCGUGCAAACCCAUUCCUGACCAGCUUCCCUCUGAGGUGCCAGAAACAGCAAGGAUCUUCGACCCUCAGGGCAGCACAAGGGUCGUGUCAACUAAGUGUCCUUCAUUGGUGAGUAAAAAACUUCCUUUCCACAGCCCUGAGUGCAGAGAAGAGAGUCUUUAGAGCACUCAGCAAAGGAAGAAACUCAUCUAGAAAAAUGAAAUCGCCAUAUCCCAUCAUUACGACUACACUCUGAUAUUGUCAACAUCCCAGACACAGUGGCUGCUGAGAUACAUUCUCACAGUGGCCUCUAAUAUAAUAAUCACACCGUGCCCUAACAUUACUAUGAUAUCCAUACCGUGCCCUAACACCAGUAUAAUAUCCACACCGUUGCUUCUGAUACUAAUGUAAUACUAUCCACACUGUGCCCUAAUGCUAAUGUAAUAUCUGCACUGUCCUCCAACACCAAUAUAACAUGUACACCAUGCCCUAACACUGAUAUCCACACCAUGCCGUAACACUAAUGUAUCUACACAGUAACCUCUAAUACUAAUAAAUAUAGUAAUAUCUACUAAAUGGAGUCUGUUGACUUUGAGGCUUUUAUAAGGGUUCCAUCUUUGGAUGAAGCGUAACCUCUAUAGUGGAUUUUGAUGAUGUUUCUGCUUUUCUGGAAUAGUAUUGAUAUGGUUAUUUUAAAAAGUAAUUUACUUUUUAAUACUGUCAUUCUUCUAGGAAGCUUCCAGUAGCAGUGCAAAAUACAACCUGUUUCUUUUCUUAGAGUCCCCAGCAGUUAUUGCUGUGCUAGAUUCGCAAUAUUCCACAAAGUACUCCAGCGUAUUUUACCCAAAGCAUGGACACUCUCCCAGGUACAUAACCAC